rnacentral:snRNA from 1 species
AAAAGUACUUUCAUUCAACU